UACGUAGGGUGCGAGCGUUGUCCGGAAUUACUGGGCGUAAAGAGCUCGUAGGUGGUUUGUCGCGUUGUUCGUGAAAACCGGGGGCUUAACCCUCGGCGUGCGGGCGAUACGGGCAGACUUGAGUACUGCAGGGGAGACUGGAAUUCCUGGUGUAGCGGUGGAAUGCGCAGAUAUCAGGAGGAACACCGGUGGCGAAGGCGGGUCUCUGGGCAGUAACUGACGCUGAGGAGCGAAAGCUGGGGAGCAAACGGGAUUAGAACUACCGUAGUCAGUCCAAGACCAGU
rnacentral:rRNA from 1 species